UACGUAGGGGGCUAGCGUUGUCCGGAAUUAUUGGGCGUAAAGAGCUUGUAGGCGGUUUGUCGCGUCUGCUGUGAAAGUCCGGGGCUCAACUCCGGAUCUGCGGUGGGUACGGGCAGACUAGAGUGAUGUAGGGGAGACUGGAAUUCCUGGUGUAGCGGUGAAAUGCGCAGAUAUCAGGAGGAACACCGAUGGCGAAGGCAGGGUCUCUGGGCAUUAACUGACGCUGAGGAGCGAAAGCAUGGGGAGCGAACAGG
rnacentral:rRNA from 1 species